GACGAACGCUGGCGGCGUGCUUAACACAUGCAAGUCGAGCGAGGCCCACCUUUCGGGGUGGUGUCCUAGCGGCGAACGGGUGAGUAACACGUGGGCAACCUGCCCCCGGCUCGGGGAUAACCCCAAGAAAUUGGGGCCAAUACCGGAUACGACCGCUGACCGCAUGGUCUGGUGGGGGAAAGAUUUACCGGCUGGGGCUGGGCCCGCGGCCUCUCAGCUUGUUGGUGGGGUAGUGGCCUACCAAGGCGACGACGGGGAGCCGGCCUGCGCGGGGGACCGGCCACACUGGGACUGAGACACGGCCCAGACUCCUACGGGAGGCAGCAGUGGGGAAUAUUGCGCAAUGGGCGAAAGCCUGACGCAGCGACGCCGCGUGGGGGAUGACGGCCUUCGGGUUGUAAACCUCUUUCAGCAGGGACGAAGCCCGCAAGGGUGACGGUACCUGCAGAAGAAGCACCGGCCAACUACGUGCCAGCCGCCGCCGUAA
rnacentral:rRNA from 1 species